rnacentral:lncRNA from 1 species
UUUGAGGUAAUUACUAAGUUGUCUCCUCCUAUCUCCAUGAAGGAUGCUAUAGGAUUCCCUAUUUAUGUGGGAUUUUACAGACGAUUCAUUAAAGAUUUCACAAAAAUUGCUCAUUCCUUGUCCAAAAUCCUUGAAAAAGAGGUAAAAUUUGAAUUUGAUGAUUAGUGUUUAAAGGCAUUCAAUUCCCUCAAGGAACUCCUCAUUGCGGCUCCUAUUAUUGUUUCCCCGGACUAGUCCUCACUCUUUGAUCUAAUGUGUGAUGCAAGUGGAAUUUCUCUAGGUGUUGCUAGGCCAACAAAGAGAGGAUUUGUUCUAUCCAAUCUACUAUGCAAGCAAAUCUUUGAAUAAUGCCCAACAUAAAUAUACAAUUAUGGAACAACAGCUAUUUGUGGUGGUCUAUGCUUUUGAAAAAUUUAGCGCUUACUUAUUGGGUAUGAAAGUUGUUGUGCAUACAGACCACGCUGCCCUUAUGUACCUCAUGGAAAAGAAAGAGACUGAACCACACUUGAUUAGGUGUAUCUUACUAUUAUAAGAGUUUAGUUUUGAGGUGAAGGAUAUAAAGGGUUGAGAAAACCAAGUGUCCGACCAACUCCCCCCCUGAAAAUAAUCAAUAGAAUUUGGGUGAGAUUGAGAUUGAUAACACCUUCCCCGAUGAGUUAGUCAUGUCAAUCUCGAGAAAUUUUGCACCUUGGUAUGCAGAUUAUGCAAACCAUGUUAUAAACUAUAAUAAAAUAAAAUGGUUAUUAUUUGAUAUAAAGUAGUAUAUUUGGGAUGAACCAUUUUUGUUUAGGGAAUGUGUAGAUGGUAUGGUUCUCAAAGUGAUAAGAAAGAAUGAAAGAUAUACUUAAAGUUUGUCACUCCUCCCGUUUCAGUGGACACAAUGAGAGAUUCGGACCGCCACCCAAAUUCUUCAAUGUAGUUAUUAUUGGACUACCAUUUAUAGGGAUGUUAUUGAGAUAGACAAAUUAUGUCAUAAAUUCCAAUUGCAAAGCUGAGACUUGAGAGGGCAUGAGAUGCCCCUGGACCAUACGUCAAAGUUAAACUAUUUGAUGUAUGGGGCAUUGAUUUCAUGGGCCCAUUUUAAGAUCUUUGCGUAACAUAUACAUCUUAGUGGUGGUGGACUAUGUCUCUAAAUAGAUAGAGGUUAUUGCUCAUUUGAAAAACAAAAUCAAAAGUGUCCCUUUCUUCUUGAAAAAAAUACAUCUUUACAAGGUUUGGGAUGCUGUAAGCCAUAAUAAGCGAUGGAGGCUCACAUUUUUACAAUUGAGUUUUCAACACUAUUCUUGACUAGUAUAGGCUGAAGCACAAGGUUGAUACCUCAUAUAGAUCCCAAAUGAGUGGCUAAGUCGAGGUGUACAAUGCAACUAGAUGAUGUGAUUUGGGCUUAUAGGAUAGCUUUAAAAACUCCGAUUGGAAUGUACCUAUCCUAAUUAGUGUUUGGGAAUGCAUGUCACCUAUUUAAUUAGAGCAUAAAGCAUGGUGGGCUUUGGAAAAAUUAAAUAUUGAUUGGGUUGAUGCAUCAAAGUCAAGAGUGACUCAACUCUAUGAGUUUGAUUUUUUUUCUAAAGGCCAAUGAAAGCUCCAUUUUGUAUAAGGAAAGAAUGAAGAUGUGGAAUGAUACCAAAAUUAUAAGGAGAAAUUUCAUGUUGGGAAUGGAAUACUCCAUUAUAAUUUUUGGUUGAAGCUUUUUGUGAUAAAGCUUGGAUCCAAGCAGUUGGGUCCCUUUGUGGUUACAACGUUGUAUCCCAAUGGAGCGAUCGAGUUUGAAGACCUUAAGAAAUUUUUUUUGUAGUGAAUGGGAAAAGUCUAAAACAUUACAAUGUAGGUGGACCCGGGGCAGCCAAAAUUGAGUUAUUGCGCUUCAAGAAUCAAUAAUGAUGAUAAAAAACAUUUUUUCACGAUGCUGAAUGAUGCGCUUGAUGGGAGGCAACCUAUUAUUUUGAUGUUUUUGAAAUAUUUUUUUUGAUAAGUUCACAUAAUUUGGAUGCUUUGCAGGUAUUUUAGACUAAUUGGAAGCAAAAAAUAAGGGGAAAUCCAGUUUAGAUGUAUGGUAGCCAUGUAGAAAAAUAUUGCAAAAUAGGGAGCAUAAGUCCUCAAGUACUAUGAUCGCGAUUGUAUUGAGUCUGUCGCAAUAGCGCUAGUGUAUCUAAAAUGCAUAUUUGCCCUUGAUGUGAUAUUAGGGAGACUCUUUAACCAUUCUCAGGCUUUUGUGUUAUGCAGUAAGGACACUUCAAGUCAUGUGUUAGGGGUAUUGUGUAUGUAAUCCUUUAGUGUGCAUUGGUUGGGAAUAUUUAAAUUUUGUUCACACUGAGUAUGAAGAUUUUUUACAUUAAUUAUUUCAUUUUUAUCUUUUUAUUUAUCUUUUGAUGUGGUGUUGGAUGUGACAUUCCCUAUGAUAGACUGAGUGAUGACAUUCUUAAGGAAAAAUAUUGUGUUGGGGUUUUGAGCUAUUAAUGCAGGGGAAGUUUGAGUACCAGGGGCAUUAUAUUUUUGAAUAAUAUUAUUUCUAUGGUGAAGUGUUAAUAUCCAUAUAGUUUGCCCUUAUAGGAUCUCAAAUGUAAGAUGGCGGCUUAAAUUGGUGCCAAAAAUAGUUAAUCUUACGUGGUGAAAAGCGAAGCCAGAACCCCUCCUCCGUUUAAAUUUUGUUAUGAAAAUCAAGGGCAUGGAUAUGAAUUAUUUUGUAACAACACUUUACCUCUUUUUGUGACUCCAAAUUCUUUAGUAGGUAGUGUGUGGUUAUUAACUAUUUUUCCUCAAAUAGGAGAUACAAUUGAUCCUCCUAGAAAAGUUUACAUGCCAUUCAUGGUGAGCAUAGUUGAUUGAUUCUCAUAUGUACUUGUGACAUCUAGAACUUUCCCCACUGGUAUUUUAAAGCUAAUGUUAAUUACACAUAGUUGGAAGAAAGAACUUAGGCAUUCUUUAUGAACAUGGAAAUCAACUUUAGCCUAGAAACCUUACCCGUUCAUGAAUGGUACCCUAGUCACCUCUUUAGAGCGUUUGAAACCUUUCUUUAGCAAUCUCAUUGCAAGCCUUGAACCAUUUAAAAUUUAUCCCACUUUUGAACCCUAACUUCCUAAACUUAAAAAUGCAAUUUGAGGCUAAAAGCCUAUGAUGGGGGUGGUAAAUCUUGGAAGAGGUUAUCUUAGGCCACAAUAAUGAAAGUAAGUACAAAAAGAUUAAUAAUGAAGACAAAUGAAUGAGAAAAAUAAAGGAACCAACAAAAGAACGAAAAAUAUGAGAUUACACAAAGUAAAGGUAUGAGAAGAAACUGCUUUCAAAAGAUGGAUGAAACAAUGUGGUAAGAGAAGGCACAUGAGUAAAUAAGGUAUGAAUGAAGUGGCCCAUAACCCAAAGUUUGAUUUAAUAAUGUUUUAUGUGGUGUUCAAGGAGGGUGUUUUAAAUUUUAUACAAAAAAAUUUAUCCUACCUUUCACCGAGUCAAUAUUAGAAGCUAGAAAAAGUGUUUUGAGAUCUUUAACCAAGUAUUUUAAGUUAAUAUUGAUUGAAAAUAAGGGAAAGCAUAUGCCAUGAUACUUGUGUGUAUGGAGAAAUUCUUUGUGAGUGUGAGAGCUUGCAUAUUUGUCCCUCAUUACCUAAUUGAAAUUAAGGUGUGUUAGGACUUCCCUUUCAUGAGAAGGCAUGUAACCUAAUAAAGGCUAGUGAAGUUGUCAAUUUCCAAAAAAUAAGGCAAAGACGUGUAGUUAAGUCAGUAUUUAUAGAGAGUCACCUCUGGAGAGUUAGUAGUUGUUGCUUGUUUGUUCUUAAAAGUCUUUUGCAUCCCAAAAAAUGUGGUUGAUUUUGAGAGAAGUAGAAAGAAUGGUUCCUCCCAUGAUUUUUUGGCUAAUUGUUAGUGCUAAUCAAGUUUAGAAUCAUUGGUGAUCAUUUGGUUGUACGAAUGGGCUUAUAAGUGAAGUAGUAUCAUUGAGUAUUGAGUAGUGUUGCUUGAGGACAAGGAAUAUUUAAUUUGGGGUGUUGAUGAGUGGAAAAUUAUUCAUUCAUUUACAUCCACAUUCUAGCACACUAUGAUGAAUUAAUUGUUUGCAUGAGGCAAAUUCUUGAUUUAAAUGCAUUAAUGUUUUGUAUUUGUGAUAUUGCAGUUAAUUUAAUGAAAAUCAAUUGUGACAAAAUUGGAAGAGAAGUAAAUUGAGCAAAAAUAGCAUGAGAACAAAAGAUUUGGCCCUGGAGGUGACCCUCCGAUGCCACAUUCGUGCUCUGAGGUUUGCGAAUGCAAUUAGAAGUCAAGUCAAACCUUGGCGAUCACAAGAUGACCAUCAUAAUUUUGGUAGUCGCAAACACAAUCAAUAGAUGGCAAUAACAGUAGAGCAAAAAAGUUUUGAAGGUAAAUAGGAAUCUCACAGAGCUGAAUCUCAAUUCACAAAAGGCUAAAACCUUUCACAUUUUUUAGUAUCUUUCAUUAAAUUUUACAAUUUGUUGAGAGAAGAAGAAUUUAUUUUUGAGGGAUAAAACAAAUGUUGAGUUGGUUCCAAG